rnacentral:rRNA from 1 species
AUUGAACGCUGGCGGCAGGCCUAACACAUGCAAGUCGAGCGGAUGAAGGGAGCUUGCUCCUGGAUUCAGCGGCGGACGGGUGAGUAAUGCCUAGGAAUCUGCCUGGUAGUGGGGGAUAACGUCCGGAAACGGGCGCUAAUACCGCAUACGUCCUGAGGGAGAAAGUGGGGGAUCUUCGGACCUCACGCUAUCAGAUGAGCCUAGGUCGGAUUAGCUAGUUGGUGGGGUAAAGGCCUACCAAGGCGACGAUCCGUAACUGGUCUGAGAGGAUGAUCAGUCACACUGGAACUGAGACACGGUCCAGACUCCUACGGGAGGCAGCAGUGGGGAAUAUUGGACAAUGGGCGAAAGCCUGAUCCAGCCAUGCCGCGUGUGUGAAGAAGGUCUUCGGAUUGUAAGGCACUUUAAGUUGGGAGGAAGGGCAGUAAGUUAAUACCUUGCUGUUUUGACGUUACCAACAGAAUAAGCACCAGCUAACUUCGUG